UAGAUUGUACUUUCAGGGAUAAUUUCUGUGGUUAUCUACUAUAGAAGUUUUUCGGAAUGUGUAGAGCACCAGAAACCACAAGGAGGAUGUAAAAAGUUCUCUUCCGAGUGGAAAGUUGACUUUGAAUAUUGUUUUUGCAUCAUCUCUUUGCCAUUGAUGACUGUUCAUACUACUUUUAUGGUGGCAUGAAGAAAAGAAUGGAAUCUGAGUGGU